CUGAUAGGUGGGGAGGGCUGGCAUAAUGCAAGCAGGAACUUGAAGAAUGCAAAAGACUUAGGUAGGUGAAGAAGGGAGACAACAGGGACGUCCAGAGGGAGACAGCAUACAGCGUGAAAUGCUGCAGACUAUAGAGCUGCUGCUGGAAGUGGAACAUAAGGUUAGACCAGUAGCCUGGAGCUGUUUGGUGGAAGGCUUGUGAAGCCCUUCUGACAGUUUGGGUGUUUUCACUGUGUCAUGGGAACCAUUCAAGCUUCCUCUGCUUUCUGAAUUCAGCAUGGACUGAGUUCAUACAGUGGGCUGACUUUUUAGAAACGGGGAUUUUGUUGUAUGCUUACACUUUAGUAGAAAAUGCAGGGCUUUGACACUUGAUUUCAAUUCUGGAGCUCUGCACAUCGAAAGAGAAUUCUGCACAUUCAAAAACAACCUUGUGCUGCUUGCUUCCUUCCUCCCCUCCUCCUUCUCUUUCUUUUUUUUUCCUUCAUCCUCUCUUUUUGUUUCUUCUUCUUCUCUUCCCCACUACUUCUAUCAGAAUCUUCACUCUAAGCACAGUGAAUGGUAUGCCCAACUGGGAGGCCUUGUCUGUGUCAGCUGUCCCAUCUCCCCAGGCUCCUGCAGCCGUCUUUGCCUAGCACCAACCCAGAUGCCCAGCUCAGCACUUGGUCGAUUCUCUGCUAAGAAUCCAUUAAUGGAAAACACUGGGGAACAAUGCAGACUUUACUGAAGAGUCCUUUGUGGGCAGAGGAGGGUGUUUUCAUCAGACAUUCCACAGACAAUAACUUUAAAAUCUUCAAUUGGGCAUUUCUGUUCUUUAAAGUCACUUUCUGGCAGUAUGGUCCCUAGACCAUACUUUGUUUUUCUUUCCCCACAGAAUCCACUGGCUCCUUUCUCCUCCUUUCACUUUCCAUUAAAAUAAAUUCCUCUUCUAUUAAGCAGAACACUCCAACCUUGCCCCAGCAACUAGCUGCAGUCUGUGUACCCAGUUUGUGUACCUGUCUUGGUGGUCAUCUGUUGUCAUGUUUGUUACUUCAGCACCCAGAGAGAGGUACAAAGCAACACCUUCAUGGGUGCUUUAGUUUAGGACCUUAUGAAGAUGAUAGGUUUGUAUUAGCCCAUAUAGUCAGCCCUUACUCUUCUGUUGUCAGUAGAAGAACCAUGUACACCUGAUGAAAUAACUCUGGUCAUAUUUGAUGAGCUAUAAAGAAUAUGCAAGAGGCUUUUACUGUUAAUGUCCUGACUCUGCUCACUCUGUGACUGGUGUCCAAGAUCUAGUCCUGGUGAGGUCUGACUCAACAUCUUUCUGCAGCUCUCUGUUCUUGUCCUUUACACUAUGAAGCAAUAUCUCCAUCCUGCCUUUUCAUCCUUCUCACAGUCCUUAGCUGCUGCUGGGUAGCCUCAGGAAUGGCUUGUAAUGCCACAGCCCCCAGCACCAUCUCCCACUGUCUGCUGUUUGUGGUUGUUCAGGUGGCUGUGUUUGCCUGCAGGAUCAGCGUUCUGCACCCUCUGGUGAUAGCAGUGAGAAGAUUAACUUCAAAUCUAGAAUUUAUUCCCUAAUUGUGUCAUUUUGUGACACUGCUGAGGAACGUCAUUAAUUACCACCUUUCCCCCAUUGUAGCAGACUUAGAUAUUACAGUGCAGUAACUUCAUGGCAAAUACCCUGUGGGUCACAUGAUCUUAGGACCUUGAUUUUAAAUCUCUGUUUAUCUCUAUGUAAAAUGGUGUGAAUAAUAUAGACUUGCAGUGUUGUGGUAAGAAUGAAUGCUUUUUUUUUUAUUAUUAUGUAAGUAUCUUGGAAACUAGUGACUAUUUACAUGUUUCUUUCCCACACAUUCCCACGAAUUUCCCUUCACAAAUACAGAAUGGAUGUUAUACUUUUAUUGAUCACAAUAAACAUCUAGGAAACAGAAGAAUCAAGAUAAUAAACUAAUAUUUGUUAAACAC
rnacentral:lncRNA from 1 species